rnacentral:rRNA from 1 species
AUUGAACGCUGGCGGCAGGCCUAACACAUGCAAGUCGAACGGAGCAGCGGACGGGUGCGUGAUGGCUAGGAAUGUGCCUAGUCGUGGGGGAUAACGACCAGAAAGGGUAGCUAAUACCGCAUACUAUUGGCUUCGCAUAUGUCGGAUUGGCUAGUUGGUGGGGUAAAGGCCCACCAAGGCGACGGUCCGUAGCUGGUCUGAGAGGAUGAUCAGUCACACUGGAACGGAGACACGGUCCAGACUCCGACGGGAGGCAGCAGUGGGGAAUAUUGGACAAUGGGGGAAAGCCUGAGCCAGCCAUGCCGCGUGUGUGAAGAAGGUCUUCGGGUUGUAAAGCACUUUAAGCGGGGAGGCGUUACCAGCAGAAUAAGCACCGGCUAACUCCGUGCCAGCAGCCGCGGUAAUUC